UAUUUGUGUUUCAGGUGUUGGACAUGGCCAUCGUCUUGUACGCGCCGUCGCUAGCCCUGAACGCAGAGCCAAAUAACAUGAAAGACACACGUUCAGCAGUUACAUUUACGAGACAGGUCUAAACACCGCUGUACAUACGCUGUACAUGUGCCAGAAGUGUAUCAAGAACUUUGAUUGUUAUAUUGUAGCUGGUUCCCUUGUACAUGAUGGACAUCCUGAAUCAGUACCUCGGACUGCCGGGACUUAUGCUCUCUUGUAUAUUCAGCGGAAGUCUCAGUUGACCGGGGCGUUUUUCGGAAUUAUGGGAGGACCAUUGUUGGGGUUAAUUUGCCUGGGAAUGUUGUUUCCUUGGGCAAACAAAUGGACUGGCAACCAGUCUAUCUCUUCUGCUCUGGAUUGGACUGGGCCAAGCUAUCACAAGAACCAGCGUUGUGAUUACGCCGCCGGUGGAGACUGUCGGCUGCAACUGGACUGCUAUUAACAAAAUGACCCCAUCCCUCUCCUACCGACCACCACGC